rnacentral:rRNA from 1 species
CCGGCGCACGGGUGAGUAACGCGUAUGCAACUUGCCUAUCAGAGGGGGAUAACCCGGCGAAAGUCGGACUAAUACCGCAUGAAGCAGGGAUCCCGCAUGGGAAUAUUUGCUAAAGAUUCAUCGCCGAUAGAUAGGCAUGCGUUCCAUUAGGCAGUUGGCGGGGUAACGGCCCACCAAACCGACGAUGGAUAGGGGUUCUGAGAGGAAGGUCCCCCACAUUGGUACUGAGACACGGACCAA